rnacentral:hammerhead_ribozyme from 1 species
AUCCAGCUGACGAGUCCCGAAUUGGACGAAACACGCGUCCUGGGU